UGGUGCGUGUGUACUUGUUUGGCUCCGUUUGACUAUCAGCAGCCCCCUUAAACACAUGCAACUCAAGGUCCAGGAGGCCAUCUGCUUUUCACCUUUUUUUCCCUCCUGGUUUUUCAGAAAAUCUACUGAAUUUGACAUACUAAUGCACUGACCAAAUACAACUAUUUCUUGUUUUUGUAUUCGUAGGGUCAGUACCGGCCUUCAGACCUCCUGUGCCCUGAAUCCUACACCUGGGUGCCCAUCGAGAGAUGCAUUCCUCGCCUUGAUAUCUCUGCUUACUCUGUCUCAAUGAGAACGCCCGAGCAGGUGACGCUCAUGCGCUGAAGAAACUGGGCAGGGUGUUAGUGCUCCACAGGAGGACAGUGAUGCCCUAUGCAGCCUACGCCCGUAAGAGGAAGGGUUCGAACGACGAGAAGGAAGUGGAGCAGUAUGCUAGUCUGGUGGGCCAGACGUGUGCAGAGAGAAUCCUGCUCUACAGAGCCUAGAGCCCCUUCAUAUCUUACAACCCUCUGUCUGUCUCUCUUUCGCUCUGUUUGUCCUCUGGUACACUUGUCUGAUUAUUGUCUUCCUGAUUGUUUAUUUGUCUGCCAGAAGUCUUUUCCACAUCUGUGUGUACAGUUUUGUUCUUUUUUUGUACUGCUGUGCAUUGCUUUACUCACCCAGUCUUUCGUAAUCACUUUGAACUCUUUUAUAUUUUCUGGCCAGCAGC